UACGUAGGGGGCAAGCGUUGUCCGGAUUUAUUGGGCGUAAAGAGCGUGUAGGCGGCUUUACAGGUCCGUUGUGAAAACUCGAGGCUCAACCUCGAGACGCCGGUGGAAACCGUAAGGCUAGAGUCCGGAAGAGGAGAGUGGAAUUCCUGGUGUAGCGGUGAAAUGCGCAGAUAUCAGGAGGAACACCCGGUGGCGAAAGGCGGGUCUCUGGCGG
rnacentral:rRNA from 1 species